UUAAAAAAUCUUAACAAUGUGAGUAAGGUAGGAGACUAUUUUUUGAAUAAAGACAUGAGUUUUGUCCAUUAUAUUGAGAAGAAGUUGAUCAUAGAUACUACACUCAGAUUGCAUUGGAGACCAAACCAAACUUCUGC
rnacentral:snoRNA from 1 species